rnacentral:rRNA from 1 species
AGUGAACGCUGGCGGUAGGCCUAACACAUGCAAGUCGAACGGCAGCACAGUAAGAGCUUGCUCUUACGGGUGGCGAGUGGCGGACGGGUGAGGAAUACAUCGGAAUCUACUUUUUCGUGGGGGAUAACGUAGGGAAACUUACGCUAAUACCGCAUACGACCUACGGGUGAAAGCAGGGGAUCUUCGGACCUUGCGCGAUUGAAUGAGCCGAUGUCGGAUUAGCUAGUUGGCGGGGUAAAGGCCCACCAAGGCGACGAUCCGUAGCUGGUCUGAGAGGAUGAUCAGCCACACGGGAACAGAGACACGGUCCAGACUCCUACGGGAGGCAGCAGUGGGGAAUAUUGGACAAUGGGCGCAAGCCUGAUCCAGCCAUACCGCGUGGGUGAAGAAGGCCUUCGGGUUGUAAAGCCCUUUUGUUGGGAAAGAAAAGCAGCAGGUUAAUACCCCGCUGUUCUGACGGUACCCAAAGAAUAAGCACCGGCUAACUUCGUG